UGACGUAAAAACUGGGAAGGCUUACGG
rnacentral:sRNA from 1 species